rnacentral:rRNA from 1 species
GACGAACGCUGGCGGCGUGCUUAACACAUGCAAGUCGAACGGAAAGGCCCUGCUUUUGUGGGGUGCUCGAGUGGCGAACGGGUGAGUAACACGUGAGUAACCUGCCCUUGACUUUGGGAUAACUUCAGGAAACUGGGGCUAAUACCGGAUAGGAGCUCCUGCUGCAUGGUGGGGGUUGGAAAGUUUCGGCGGUUGGGGAUGGACUCGCGGCUUAUCAGCUUGUUGGUGGGGUAGUGGCUUACCAAGGCUUUGACGGGUAGCCGGCCUGAGAGGGUGACCGGCCACAUUGGGACUGAGAUACGGCCCAGACUCCUACGGGAGGCAGCAGUGGGGAAUAUUGCACAAUGGGCGGAAGCCUGAUGCAGCAACGCCGCGUGCGGGAUGACGGCCUUCGGGUUGUAAACCGCUUUCGCCUGUGACGAAGCGUGAGUGACGGUAAUGGGUAAAGAAGCACCGGCUAACUACGUGCCAGCAGCCGCGGUGAUACGUAGGGUGCGAGCGUUGUCCGGAUUUAUUGGGCGUAAAGGGCUCGUAGGUGGUUGAUCGCGUCGGAAGUGUAAUCUUGGGGCUUAACCCUGAGCGUGCUUUCGAUACGGGUUGACUUGAGGAGGGUAGGGGAGAAUGGAAUUCCUGGUGGAGCGGUGGAAUGCGCAGAUAUCAGGAGGAACACCAGUGGCGAAGGCGGUUCUCUGGGCCUUUCCUGACGCUGAGGAGCGAAAGCGUGGGGAGCGAACAGGCUUAGAUACCCUGGUAGUCCACGCUGUAAACGGUGGGUACUAGGUGUGGGGUCCAUUCCACGGGUUCCGUGCCGUAGCUAACGCUUUAAGUACCCCGCCUGGGGAGUACGGCCGCAAGGCUAAAACUCAAAGGAAUUGACGGGGCCCCGCACAAGCGGCGGAGCAUGCGGAUUAAUUCGAUGCAACGCGUAGAACCUUACCUGGGUUUGACAUGGAUCGGGAGCGCUCAGAGAUGGGUGUGCCUCUUUUGGGGUCGGUUCACAGGUGGUGCAUGGCUGUCGUCAGCUCGUGUCGUGAGAUGUUGGGUUAAGUCCCGCAACGAGCGCAACCCUUGUUCACUGUUGCCAGCACGUUAUGGUGGGGACUCAGUGGAGACCGCCGGGGUCAACUCGGAGGAAGGUGGGGAUGACGUCAAGUCAUCAUGCCCCUUAUGUCCAGGGCUUCACGCAUGCUACAAUGGCUGGUACAGAGAGUGGCGAGCCUGUGAGGGUGAGCGAAUCUCGGAAAGCCGGUCUCAGUUCGGAUUGGGGUCUGCAACUCGACCUCAUGAAGUCGGAGUCGCUAGUAAUCGCAGAUCAGCAACGCUGCGGUGAAUACGUUCCCGGG